UGGCGUUAAGUAGGAGGGCGCGGGCUCCACCUCGCUCAUUUGCUAGUAGCGGCGGUAAGAGGCGGGUGGCCGUUGCACUGCAUUUGCCCUUCGCCCUUUUCGACCGUAUCGCCACCGGGCCGCCUCCGCGGGCUGGGUGCCCGUUUGUCGCCUCUACGGACUCAUCACACGGCCUGUAGCUUUCCACCUUUCUGGCCUAAAGUUCGGGGCCCGCUUCGGUGACCAUUCCCUAGCGUGAGCGUCCCGACUCUGCUGAUCUCUUCGCCAGGUUUCUCUCCUCGGUCCCGCCGCCCCUCGGGGGCCUCUGCCCGCCAUGAGCUACGGGCGCCCCCCGCCUGAUGUGGAGGGCAUGACUUCCCUCAAGGUGGAUAACCUGACCUACCGCACGUCUCCAGACACGCUAAGGCGGGUCUUCGAGAAGUACGGGCGGGUGGGGGACGUCUACAUCCCCCGGGACCGCUACACCAAGGAGAGCCGCGGCUUUGCCUUCGUCCGCUUCCACGACAAGCGCGAUGCCGAGGAUGCGAUGGACGCCAUGGACGGCGCAGUGCUGGACGGCCGGGAGCUCCGCGUCCAGAUGGCCCGGUACGGGAGGCCCCCGGACUCACAUCACAGCCGACGGGGGCCGCCGCCGCGCCGAUACGGAGGUGGCGGCUACGGACGUCGCAGCCGCAGCCCCAGAAGACGCCGCCGUAGCCGAUCCAGGAGCAGGAGCCGCUCCAGGUCCCGCAGUCGAUCCCGCUACAGUCGGUCCAAGUCCAGAUCCCGCACACGCUCCCGAUCUCGCUCCACCUCUAAGUCUAGGUCUGCCAGGAGAUCCAAAUCCAAGUCGUCAUCUGUCUCCAGAUCCCGAUCCAGGUCGAGGUCCAGAUCCAGAUCUAGAAGCCCCCCACCAGUCUCAAAGAGGGAAUCUAAAUCCAGAUCCAGGUCUAAGAGUCCCCCCAAAUCUCCUGAAGAGGAAGGAGCUGUAUCCUCUUAGGAAAAUGCUGCGGUCUCCUGUUUGCUAAAAGAAUAUUGGCCAGUAUUGCAGAUUUUAACUGAUUUGGCUGAUCCUCCAGGGACCAGUUUCUGUGGGCGUGUUUUGGAGCAGAUGCAUCAGAUAAAUGAGAAGUCUACAUAAAGGACACCUCUGGGGGAAAAGAUCCUAUGCAUCUUCAGUCCACUGGAGAGACCCCAGGCGCAAGCAACCAGCUGUUGAAAAGGUUAUUUUGUAACAUUUUUGUUUUAACUUUUUACUUGUUUAAGUUGAGCCUCAAAUGGCAGACUUUACAUUUUAUGUGCCAUUUUGUUGCUGUUAUUCAAAUUUCUUGUAAUUUAGUGAAGUGAACGACUACCGAUUUCAUUAUUGGCUUGGAUAUUUGAGGUAAAUUUUCAUUUUUGUUUAUAUAGUACUGACUUUUGUUUGACUUUUAAAAAACAAAACAAAACUGAUGGUAACUUAAUUUGUUGCCUCAAGUUUCAUGUUGAGGAAACAUGCAGCCAUUACAUGCUGAGUAGCUGACUGUCAAGGAAGUGGUCUCAAUUUGCCUUCAUUCCUUAAAUAAAAUUCUUCAAAACUGCAAAUGUAAACUUCUUGUAAAUGCUAUUUACUUUGAAUUUAAAUAGUAUUGUCUAUUCCAAAUUUGUAUAAAACUUUUCAGGUGACAAUUGAUUUUGAAAGGAUUGUUUUAUCAGACUAAAUUCUAAUCUCUUCUCUUAUGUAUUUUUGUGCACUAGGCGCAGUUGUGUAGCAGUUGAGUAAUGCUGGUUAGCUGUUAAGGUGGCGUGUUGCAGUGCAGAGUGCUUGGCUGUUUCCUGUUUUCUCCUGAUUGCUCCUGUGUAACGAUGCCUUGUCGUGCAGAAACAAAUGGCUGUCCAGUUAAUUAAAAUGCCUGACAACUGCACUUCCAGUCACCCGGGCCUUGCAUAAAAAUAAUGGAGCAUACAGUGAGCACAUCUAGCUGAUGAUAUACACACCUUAUUUUUUCCAGAAUGGUAAAAUCUUACCAACUACAUUUAUGAACUUGCAUAUAAGAAAUGUAAUGUUAAGAGCAAAUGUUUCAUUCCUUUGUAAGUACUGAUUGGUGUAUCCUUUGCUUAUGACAUUAUGUACUAUAACCACUGUCCCUGUAGUUACUAUUAAACAUUUUUCUUGGUGUUAACUUUUCUCAA